rnacentral:rRNA from 1 species
UACAGAGGGUGCGAGCGUUAAUCGGAAUUACUGGGCGUAAAGCGUGCGUAGACGGUUACAUAAGUCGGGUGUGAAAGCCCCGGGCUCAACCUGGGAAUUGCAUUCGAGACUGCGUAGCUAGGGUGCGGAAGAGGAAGCGGGAAUUUCCGGUGUAGCGGUGAAAUGCGUAGAUAGUCGGAAGGAACACCAGUGGCGAAAGGCGGCUUCCUGGUC